rnacentral:lncRNA from 1 species
AUGAGUCUUUACCAGGGCAGAGUAGAGGGGGAGGAUCACCUCCCUCAACCUGCUGUCCACGCUCUUUUUAAUGCACCCCAGAAUGCUGUUGGCCUUUUUGGCCACAAGGGCACACUGCUGGCUCAUGGCCAACCUGUCGUCCACCAGGACACCCAGGUCCCUCUCUGCAGAGCUCCUCUCCAGCAGGUCAUCCCCCAACCUGUACCGGUGCAUGCGAUUAUUCCUCCCCAGAUGCAAGACUCUACACUUGCUUUUGUUAAACCUCAUCUGGUUUCUUUAUUCCCAGCUCUCCAGCCUGUCCAGGUCUCGCUGAAUGGCAGCACAGCCUUCAGGCGUGUCAGGAUUGGCCAAUCCUCCCAACUUCGUAUCAUCAGCAAACUUGCUGAGGGUGGCCACUAUCCCCUCAUCAAGGUCACUGAUGAAGAUGUUGAAGAAGACCGGACCCAGCACCGACCCCUGAAGAACACUGCUAGUUACAGGCCUCCAACCGGGCUCUGCACCACCAACGACAACCCUCUGCGCUCUGCCAGUCAGCCAGUUCUCAACCCACCUCACUGUCCACUCAUCUGUCCCACACUUCCUCAGCUUUGUUAUAAGGAUGUUGUGGGAGACAGUAUCAAAUGCCUUGCUGAAAUCAAGGUAGACUACAUCCACUGCGUUCCCCCCAUCCACACAGCCAGAGACAACAUCAUAAAAGGCUACCAGGUUGGUCAAGCACGACCUCCCUCUGGUGAACCCAUGCCGACUACUCCUGAUAACCUCCUUUUCUUCCAGCUGUCUGGAGAUGGAAUCCAGCACAAGCUGCUCCAUCACCUUUCCAGGGACAGAGGUGAGGCUGACUGGCCUAUAAUUGCCUGGAUCUUCCUUCUUGUCCUUUUUGACGACUGCAGUGACAUUGGCUAUCCUCCAGCCUUCAGGCACCUGCCCCAUUCUCCAAGACCUCUCAAAGAUGACAGAGAGCGGCUCAGCAAUCACCUCUGCCAGUUCCCUCAGCACCCGUGGAUGCACCCCAUCAGGUCCCAUGGAUUUGUGAACACUGGUGUUGCCCAGGCUCUCUCGGACCACCUCUUCCCUGACUAA